GUUUCCGUAGUGUAGCGGUUAUCACGUGCACCUCACACCCGCAAGGUCCCCGGUUCGCUCCCGGGCGGGAACA
rnacentral:tRNA from 1 species